CUAAACCAGUGAAUAAAAUCAAAAGAUUAAAAUCCAAAGAAUUUGGCGGUGUUUUAUGUAAUCAGGGGAACCUGUUCCUUAAUUCGAUAAUCCACGUUAUUCAUCACCAUUAUUAGAAAAUUCAGCCUGUGUACUGCCGUCUUCAGCCCACCUUGAAGGAGUGAGCAAAAAUAUAAAUUAAAUAACUAAGUCAGGUCAAAGUACAGCCAACAUAAUGGGGGAAAAUGGGUUACAACCUAAAUCAAGAUGCCUAAAAUUUAAUCUAAUAGAAUAAAUAAAGAUGGACUUGACAGUAAUGUAAUAUAAAUAUUAAUACAUAAACAACAAUCUAAAACAUGCACAUAUCGCCCGUCACUCUCUUCUAAAGAAG
rnacentral:rRNA from 1 species